UACGUAGGUGGCAAGCGAUACUCGGAAUCACUAGGCGUAAAGCGCAGGUAGGCGGUUUGGUAAGUCUUUUGUGAAAGCUCCCGGCUUAACUGGGAGAGGUCAAGGGAAACUACUAGACUAGAGUGUGGUAGGGGAUACUGGAAUUCCUGGUGUAGCGGUGAAAUGCGUAGAUAUCAGGAGGAAUACCUAUGGCGAAAGCAGGUAUCUGGGCCAUCACUGACGCUGAGCUGCGAAAGCUAGGGGAGCAAACAGG
rnacentral:rRNA from 1 species